CCAGAUUAGUACUUAGAUUUUUUUUGUCCCAUAUUGGUAUCCGAACUUUUUUCUGUCCACUAUAUUGGUACUUGAGACAAACGGCGUUAAUUUUUUGCUGACAUGGCAGUGCUGGCCAAUCACACACUGCCAUGUGGCAUCUUCUUAUACCUCUUUUCCUUUUUUUUGUUUUUAUUUUCCUUCCUCUUUCCUUUUUAUUUUUUUUUUCUUAUUUUUCUUUUUCUGGGCAUGCUUCUACAUUCUUCUUUCUUCUUUCUUUCUUUU
rnacentral:lncRNA from 1 species